GAUUUGUCGUCAGUGAGCUUAUUGAUAUUUUUAUGUAAAAACUCCAGCAACGGUUAUGGCAGUUUGGAGGGUUCAAACGUCUGAAGACGAGCAGUAGAUCACACUGAACAUCGUGCGCGGAAUCCAAGGAGCUUCGGAAAAGCUUCUGGAAGUUUGGUCAUGUUCGCUCAUGCUUUGGUGGAACUCCCGGAAUUGAUGUUCGACAAAUUCAUGGUACAAGGAACAAAUUGUACAUGGAUCGUAAAACCAACCUGCGUUGGUCAACCACUCGGAAUCCAGAUAAUUUUUUUCCAUUCAAGUGAUAGUGAUUGCUCUAGUGAACGUGAUUAAUUUAGUGGUAG